UACAAAUUCAAAAUGGCUGUCUUGAUCACUUUCGCAUGGUGGUUGCGCUAAGAACUAUUCAAAAGCUGGUGUUGGAGUUUACCAAAAGCAGCACUUGCCUUCCCCAUUCUAUUCUAAAUCUCCUUGUCUAUUCUAGCAGUGUUCGAGACUGAACUUCCAAGCUUACUUUCUACUGGUCAUCGGAGCUGGAACGAGCCAGCACGAACCUUGUUAGCCCAGGCGACAUUCAAGCCGGGCGGGAAUGUAAUCCAGCGGCAAGAACAGGUCAAGACAAGCUGGCGUUUCGUUCAUGCUGCAGUGGCUGGCUGGGAGAUAGGUUUGUCUAUCACUGCCCUUAAGUGCUGCCAUGGGGCACCAACUGGGAGUGGUCCACCACAGACCUUUGACAGAUGUUGUUUUUGGUUCUGUAAGGACACCCAGUUUCACCCUCCACACCUCACUUGAAGUGGGGUGGUCGGUUUAGUCACGGACAGUCUGACCCAUCAUGCAACGGGUGGUACCGGAUUCAUGGUUACUGGUAGCAGUCAAGACUGACCGACCUGACCAACAGGAAACAGAUUACAGCCUAGUUAUAGUCUUGUAAAUCUCUCUGGACACUUUGUGGCUAUUUUGGGUAAAUUGUCUUUAAUCAUGCAUGCAAUAUGAACAACA